UACGUAGGGUGCGAGCGUUGUCCGGAAUUAUUGGGCGUAAAGAGCUUGUAGGCGGUUUGUCGCGUCUGCUGUGAAAUCUCAAGGCUCAACCUUGAGCUUGCAGUGGGUACGGGCAGACUAGAGUGUGGUAGGGGAGACUGGAAUUCCCGGUGUAGCGGUGAAAUGCGCAGAUAUCGGGAGGAACACCGGUGGCGAAGGCGGUUCUCUGGGCCUGUACUGACGCUGAGGAGCGAAAGCGUGGGGAGCGAACAGG
rnacentral:rRNA from 1 species